CAGCAGCCGCGGGAAUACGAAGGGGGCUAGCGUUGUUCGGAUUUACUGGGCGUAAGGGCGCGUAGGCGGACUGAUAAGUCAGGGGUGAAAUCCCAAGGCUCAACCUUGGAACUGCCUUUGAUACUGUUUGUCUUGAGUUCGAGAGAGGUAAGUGGAACUGCGAGUGUAGAGGUGAAAUUCGUAGAUAUUCGCAAGAACACCAGUGGCGAAGGCGGCUUACUGGCUCGAAACUGACGCUGAGGCGCGAAAGCGUGGGGAGCAAACAGGAUUAGAUACCCCAGUAGUCCCUGUCUCUUAUACA
rnacentral:rRNA from 1 species